GUUACUUCUUACGAAAAUGCUCCUAUAAUCGCUUCGAAGUAUUAGGAGAGCAGAAACGUCAGAAUAUAUAUAUGAAAGUGCAAUAUUAUUCGUGCACAAUGUAUGGUGUGACUAUUACGAAUUCAAAUAACCUUAAUGUGCUUAUAACUUGUAAGGAAACAAGAAAGAAAAAAUUAAAUGAAAUAUAUUAUUGAUGAAUUAUGUAAAGGCAUACCAUUAGUUUUAUUUAACUGUCUUCUCAGAAAUAUACAUUAAACAGAAAAACAGAGAUGAUGAGUAGAAGAUUGAUGUUAUGGAUUCUUGCACUGUUGCAAGUAUACAUACUUUGGAGAAUAAUAAUUGUUCGGGAUGCUAACAGGAUUGUCCCUGUACUUCAGAGAUAACAAGACAAGUCUGAUACAUAUAUUAAUAGAAAUGCAUUUAUGCUGAUUUCCAAAUGAUGAUGUCUUUAAAAAUGUAAAUAUAGGAACUUCCAAGAAUCCAGAACGAUGUGUCUAUCCAUAUUUUUCGUGUCUGCAAUGGAUCAUGCUGUGCAUUUUCUGUGUUUAGAACUUAAGAUGGAUCGCCUCCAAUGCAUACUAUAGGAGUACCUUUAACUGUAACUAACCUAUGAAGCACAAUUAACGAAGAUGAAAUAUCUGAGCAUGAACAUUAUAAUGAUAUAGAAAACAAAUUGCCUUCGUACCUUUGAGAAAAAAUGAAAUGUCCGUGUCAAUAGUUAAAACUUAAUUUUAGCUAUGUAUGAUUUUCUUUAUAUUGACUUUUUAUCAAAAGUAUUUCUUGUAGAUUACUUUAUAUAAUUUUUUAUCAACUGUUUGAAACUUACAACAGAAGUUUUUAUACAACUUAUGAUAAUCAAUAUAAUACGUAGCAAUAAAUAUAAUAUGUAGCAAUAAACUUAAGAUUUUGUAAUGAUGAUUUAGAUUUGAAAUAUCUAAUUUUUAUCAAUUAUAGAACGCACAUUCAACUUCUGUUAGCAAGUUUUUGAAGCUGCUAUUUCUAGAUUAACAGGCUAAUGAUGCUGGCUUCUUUUUGAAUUAUUAAAUUCUACACUUAAUACAAAGCAUAAUGAGUUUGCUAAAAUGUAGCAA